rnacentral:lncRNA from 1 species
GCAGUCAGCUUGGUGAUUCAAAAGUUACUCUUGACAAGAAGUCUACCCCUGAGGCACCACCCAGCAUCCAUGUGGUCGAUUCUGAAGCAUCGCCAAACAAAGGUGUGGUUUGUUCUGAAAUGCAGACAAGUAAUGAUGUGGUUGUAUCUGAAACACAGCACAGCAAUGAGGAUGCGGUACCUGAAGCACAGCACAACAAUGAAGGGGUAGCUUUAUCUGAAACACAACACAUAGAUGAGGAGGUUGCAUCGGAAAAACAGCACAACAAUGAAGGGGUAGCUUUAUCUCAAACACAAC